rnacentral:rRNA from 1 species
UACGUAGGGUGCGAGCGUUGUCCGGAAUUAUUGGGCGUAAAGGGCUCGUAGGCGGUUUGUCGCGUCGGGAGUGAAAAUCAGGUGCUUAACACCUGGCUUGCUUUCGAUACGGGCAGACUAGAGGUAUGCAGGGGAGAACGGAAUUCCUGGUGUAGCGGUGAAAUGCGCAGAUAUCAGGAGGAACACCGGUGGCGAAGGCGGUUCUCUGGGCAUUACCUGACGCUGAGGAGCGAAAGUGUGGGGAGCGAACAGG